AUCCUUAAACCUGUUUGGGUUUCCCAUACCGAUCAUUAUUCAUAUCUAUAAGGAGCCUUCUUAAACAAGGCGUCCUUAUAUUUGGCAUUAUCCUUAAACCCAUAUGUGGGUUAUAUAUCCAUCAUAAUCUCUAAACCCAUGUGGGUUCUUCUAUCUAUCACUAUUCUAAUGUGACACUUGCAUUGCAUCUGAAAAAAACUUUUAGCAUACCUUCAAAAGUAAAAAUUAAAAAAAGAAAAAAAUAUUUUUGCAUACCCAUGCAUUUGCAUACAUACACAUACAUUUUCAUAUCGUUUCUGAUUU
rnacentral:lncRNA from 1 species